GAGUUUGAUCCUGGCUCAGGAUGAACGCUAGCGGCAGGCCUAACACAUGCAAGUCGAGGGGUAGAGGGGUGCUUGCACCCCUUGAGACCGGCGCACGGGUGCGUAACGCGUAUGCAACCUACCUAUUGCAGGGGAAUAGCCCAGGGAAACUUGGAUUAAUGCCCCAUAGUCCAUAUUGAGAGCAUUCGAUAUAUGGUAAAGAUUUAUCGGCAAUAGAUGGGCAUGCGUCCCAUUAGCUAGUUGGUAUGGUAACGGCAUACCAAGGCAACGAUGGGUAGGGGCCCUGAGAGGGGGAUCCCCCACACUGGUACUGAGACACGGACCAGACUCCUACGGGAGGCAGCAGUGAGGAAUAUUGGACAAUGGGCGGGAGCCUGAUCCAGCCAUGCCGCGUGCAGGAAGACUGCCCUAUGGGUUGUAAACUGCUUUUUUACGGGAAGAAACACCCCCACGUGUGGGGGCUUGACGGUACCGUACGAAUAAGGACCGGCUAACUCCGUGCCAGCAGCCGCGGUAAUACGGAGGGUCCGAGCGUUAUCCGGAAUCAUUGGGUUUAAAGGGUCCGUAGGCGGGCGUCUAAGUCAGUGGUGAAAUCCCGCAGCUCAACUGUGGAAUUGCCAUUGAUACUGGUCGCCUUGAAUUAGUGUGAAGUGGCUAGAAUAUGUAGUGUAGCGGUGAAAUGCUUAGAUGUUACAUAGAAUACCGAUUGCGAAGGCAGGUCACUAACACUAUAUUGACGCUGAUGGACGAAAGCGUGGGGAGCGAACAGGAUUAGAUACCCUGGUAGUCCACGCCGUAAACGAUGGAUACUAGCUGUCCGGCCUGCAUUGGUAGGCUGGGUGGCCAAGCGAAAGUGAUAAGUAUCCCACCUGGGGAGUACGUUCGCAAGAAUGAAACUCAAGGAAUUGACGGGGGCCCGCACAAGCGGUGGAGCAUGUGGUUUAAUUCGAUGAUACGCGAGGAACCUUACCAGGGCUUAAAUGUAGUCUGACAGGGGUGGAAACACCCCCUUCUUCGGACAGACUGCAAGGUGCUGCAUGGUUGUCGUCAGCUCGUGCCGUGAGGUGUCAGGUUAAGUCCUAUAACGAGCGCAACCCCUGUCGUUAGUUGCCAGCAUGUAAAGAUGGGAACUCUAACGAGACUGCCGGUGCAAACCGUGAGGAAGGUGGGGAUGACGUCAAAUCAUCACGGCCCUUACGUCCUGGGCCACACACGUGCUACAAUGGCAGGUACAAUGGGCAGCCACGCCGCAAGGCGGAGCGAAUCCACAAAACCUGUCUCAGUUCGGAUCGGGGUCUGCAACUCGACCCCGUGAAGCUGGAAUCGCUAGUAAUCGGAUAUCAGCCAUGAUCCGGUGAAUACGUUCCCGGGCCUUGUACACACCGCCCGUCAAGCCAUGGAAGCUGGAAGCACCUGAAGUCCGUCACCGCGAGGAGCGGCCUAGGGUGAAGCUGGUAACUGGGGCUAAGUCGUAACAAGGUAGCCGU
rnacentral:rRNA from 1 species